rnacentral:rRNA from 1 species
GACGAACGCUGGCGGCGUGCUUAACACAUGCAAGUCGAACGGAAAGGCGCCUUUGGUGGUACUCGAGUGGUGACCGGGUGAGUAACACGUGAGUAAGCUGCCCCUGACUUUGGGAUAACUUCAGGAAACUGGGGCUAAUACUGGAUAGGAAUCCUUUCUUCAAGGUGGGGGUUGGAAAGCUUCGGCCGGUUUGGCUGGACUCGCGGCAUAUCAGCUUGUUGGUGCGGUAGUGGAUUACCAACGCUUGGGCGGGUAGCCGGCCUGCGUGGGCGACCGGCCACACUGGGACUUACGGGAGGCCCAGGUACCGACGGGUGGCAGAAGGGGGGAAGAUUGAAGAAGGGGCGGAGGCCGGAUGCAGAAGCGCCGCGGGCGGGAUAACGGCCUUAGGGUUGAAAACCGCUUUCGGCAGGAGCGAAGCUUGUCGUGACGGUACCUACAGAAGAAGCACCGGCUAACUACGUG